rnacentral:rRNA from 1 species
CCUACGGGAGGCUGCAGUGGGGAAUAUUGGACAAUGGGGGCAACCCUGAUCCAGCCAUGCCGCGUGUGUGAAGAAGGCCCUCGGGUUGUAAAGCACUUUCAGUGAGGAAGAACGCCUGGUGGUUAAUACCCAUCAGGAAAGACAUCACUCACAGAAGGAGCACCGGCUAACUCCGUGCCAGCAGCCGCGGUAAUACGGAGGGUGCGAGCGUUAAUCGGAAUUACUGGGCGUAAAGCGCGCGUAGGUGGCUUGAUAAGCCGGUUGUGAAAGCCCCGGGCUCAACCUGGGAACGGCAUCCGGAACUGUCAAGCUAGAGUGCAGGAGAGGAAGGUAGAAUUCCCGGUGUAGCGGUGAAAUGCGUAGAGAUCGGGAGGAAUACCAGUGGCGAAGGCGGCCUUCUGGACUGACACUGACACUGAGGUGCGAAAGCGUGGGUAGCAAACAGGAUUAGAUACCCUGGUAGUC